rnacentral:ncRNA from 1 species
AACUUACACAUGCAAGUCUCAGCACACCUGUGAGAACGCCCUUUCAACCUUCACCAGGCCAAGGAGCCGGCAUCAGACACAACUUUAGUCCACAACGCCUAGUCUCACCACACCCACAAGGGUCAUCAGCAGUGAUAAAUCUUGAGCAUAAGCGAUAGCUUGACUCAGUCAGAGAAAAGAGGGCCGGCCAACCCGGUGCCAGCCGCCGCGGCUACCCCGUGGGGCCCAAGUUGAGGGCUAUCGGCGUUAAGCGUGAUUAAAGUCCAUUUAGAUUAAGGUCGAAUUAAUACUAAGUAGUUUAAAGCUCGUUAUUAAGAAGAACACAAACGAAAGUUACCUUAACCCACACACUUGAAUACACGACAGCUGGGGGACAAACUAGGAUCAGAUACCCUACUAUGCCCAGCCGUAAACAAUUAACUUACACCUACAAGCGCCAGGGAACUACGAGCCACGCUUAAAACCCAAAGGAUUUGACGGUGUCCCACCCCACUAGAGGAGCCUGUUCUUUAAUCGAUGAUCCCCGAUAUACCCCACCACCCCUUGCUCGUCAGUCUGUAUACCUCCGUCGAAAACUUACCAUGUGAAUGUUUACAGUAGGUUUAAUGACCAUAUUAAUUCGUCAAUACGUCAGGUCAAGGUGCAGCUUAAGGGGUGGAAAGUGAUUGGCUACAAUUUCUAAUUUAGAACAAACGAAAGGCCAUGUGAAAUCGUGGCCGCGAAGGCGGAUUUAGUAGUAAAAAGAAAAUAGAGUGUUCUUUUUAACCCGGCUCUGGGACGCGUACACACCGCCCGUCACCCUCUUCAAUGACAUUACAC